AUUGAACGCUGGCGGCAUGCUUUACACAUGCAAGUCGAACGGCAGCGCGGGCUUCGGCCUGGCGGCGAGUGGCGAACGGGUGAGUAAUGCAUCGGAACGUGCCCAGUAGUGGGGGCUAGCCCGGCGAAAGCCGGAUUAAUACCGCAUACGACCUGAGGGUGAAAGCGGGGGACCGAAAGGCCUCGCGCUAUUGGAGCGGCCGGUGUCGGAUUAGCUAGUUGGUGGGGUAAAGGCUUACCAAGGCGACGAUCCGUAGCUGGUCUGAGAGGGCGACCAGCCACACUGGGACUGAGACACGGCCCAGACUCCUACGGGAGGCAGCAGUGGGGAAUUUUGGACAAUGGGGGCAACCCUGAUCGAGCCAUGCCGCGUGCGGGAAGAAGGCCUUCGGGUUGUAAACCGCUUUUGUUCGGGAAGAAAUCCUCUGGGCUAAUACCCCGGGGGGAUGACGGUACCGGAAGAAUAAGCACCGGCUAACUACGUG
rnacentral:rRNA from 1 species